UUCCCCUUCGGGGGACAAAGUGACAGGUGGUGCAUGGUUGUCGUCAGCUCGUGUCGUGAGAUGUUGGGUUAAGUCCCGCAACGAGCGCAACCCUUAAGCUUAGUUGCCAUCAUUAAGUUGGGCACUCUAAGUUGACUGCCGGUGACAAACCGGAGGAAGGUGGGGAUGACGUCAAAUCAUCAUGCCCCUUAUGAUUUGGGCUACACACGUGCUACAAUGGACAAUACAAAGGGCAGCGAAACCGCGAGGUCAAGCAAAUCCCAUAAAGUUGUGCUCAGUUCGGAUUGUAGUCUGCAACUCGACUACAUGAAGCUGGAAUCGCUAGUAAUCGUAGAUCAGCAUGCUACGGUGAAUACGUUCCCGGGUCUUGUA
rnacentral:rRNA from 1 species